UAUUAGAAAGAAUACCAAUUGCGAAGGCAGCUUUCUGGAUCAUUACUGACACUGAGGAACGAAAGCAUGGGUAGCGAAGAGGAUUAGAUACCCUCGUAGUCCAUGCCGUAAACGAUGUGUGUUAGACGUUGGAAAUUUAUUUUCAGUGUCGCAGCGAAAGCGAUAAACACACCGCCUGGGGAGUACGACCGCAAGGUUAAAACUCAAAUGAAUUGACGGGGACCCGCACAAGUAGUGGAGCAUGUGGUUUAAUUCGAAGAUACGCGCAGAACCUUACCAACACUUGACAUGUUCGUCGCGACUCUAAGAGAUUAGAGUUUUCGGUUCGGCCGGACGAAACACAGGUGCUGCAUGGCUGUCGUCAGCUCGUGUCGUGAGAUGUUGGGUUAAGUCCCGCAACGAGCGCAACCCUCACUUUUAGUUGCCAUCAUUUAGUUGGGCACUCUGAAAGAACUGCCAGUGAUAAGCUGGAGGAAGGUGGGGAUGACGUCAAGUCCUCAUGGCCCUUACGUGUUGGGCUACACACGUGCUACAAUGGUAUCUACAACAGGAAGCAAGACUGCGAAGUCAAGCAAAUCCUUAAAAGAUACCUCAGUUCGGAUUGCACUCUGCACCUCGAAUGCAUGAAGCUGGAAUUACUAGUAAUCGUGGAUCAGCGUGCCACGGUGAAUGCGUUCCCGGGCCUUGUACACACCGCCCA
rnacentral:rRNA from 1 species